rnacentral:rRNA from 1 species
UACGUAGGGUGCAAGCGUUGUCCGGAAUUAUUGGGCGUAAAGGGCUCGUAGGCGGUUUGUCACGUCGGGAGUGAAAACUCGGGGCUUAACCCCGAGCCUGCUUCCGAUACGGGCAGACUAGAGGUAUGCAGGGGAGAACGGAAUUCCUGGUGUAGCGGUGAAAUGCGCAGAUAUCAGGAGGAACACCGGUGGCGAAGGCGGAUCUCUGGGCCAUUACUGACGCUGAGGAGCGAAAGCGUGGGGAGCGAACAGG